UCUAUAUACAAAGCUUCCAGAACAGCUCAGGAGCAGAUGAAAGUGUAAAAACCUGGUGACUGUUCUCACAUGUAGUGCCAGCUGCUACUGCUGGAAGCACGUUCAUGUCUCUGCCAGACACCACCUGAAACCCAGCAACCACUCACACCUGUACUUCACUCCCCCACUGUUCUUUCACUUAUCCUACAAGCUAUUGUUGAGCGCCUACACAAAGCCAGGAGCCAACGAAACAAAAGCAAAUAAAACACAGGGUUUGUCUUGUGAAAAUUUCAGUCUGGAAGAGGAGAUUGGACAUUCCCUGAAGACACAGGAAUUUUGGAAGGACACAGUGUCGUUGCCAUUGGAGGCCAGUAGAUAAAGGGGUUUGGGAGUUCCAGGGAGAAAGGAUUCGAGUUGAAGCCCUAACCUUCGAUGUGUUGGUGUUAGGAGGUGGAGCCUUCGGGAGGUAAUUAGGUUUAGAUGAGGUCAGGAGGGUAGGGCCUCCGUGAUGGGAUGGGUGCUCUUAUAAGAGGAAGCAACACCAGAGCAUCCUGUCUCAGUCAUGAGAGGACGCGGUGAGAGGGAAGUCACUUGCAAGUCAGAAACAGGGUCCUCACUGAGAACCAGGUCUGCUCGUGCCUUAUCUCAGACUUCCAGUCUCCAGAACUGUGAGAAAGAAAUGUCUGUUGUUUAAGCCACCCCGUCUGUAGAGUUUGUUUGGCAGCCCAAGCUGAUGGAUACAGGAGGCUCUAAGAGGCAACAAAUGAGAACCUGGAUGAAGAGGCAUGUCAAAGAGAAUCAAGCAAACCCAGCAGACAACCCUGCAUGCUUGAUGAGGUUUUGAGGAAGGAAAAGUUGUUCUCCGGGCAAAGGAAUGCAGAGAAAGGAAAAUUCAUCCUCCUUCGUUGGACUGAAUGGAAAAGGGGAAAGACAAUUGCUCCAGGUUCAAGGAGUGUCCAAGGCCUCAUUGCUGACUGUUCUGCAGAGUGAAGGUGGAGCUCUCCAACAGGACCAAAUAAUGACAUGAAUAAAUAUGUAACUGCAAACAGGAGAAGGUGUUAAAAAGGCGAAAUGCACAGUGCUCUAAGAGCUAAGGACAAGCCCCCUGGCCUGGUGGGGGGUGGCUUUCCUGGAGAAUGAAGCCUGAGCUAAGCUUUGAGGAUGUAGGAAGGGAGCAUUCCAGGCAGAGGGAACUCUCCAUGCUCUGGCAAGAGGAUGCUUUCUGAAAAGGCCUAGGUGGAAUGGUGCCGGUUGAAAGGCCAGACAAGGACCAGGUCAAAGUCUGGAGGACUUGGGAUGCUUUUUGUCUUCAUCCUAAGAGAUUGGGAUCAAAAAAGCAGAUGAUGUGAUCAGAGGUGCAUUUUGGAAAGAUUAAUUUGGCUGCUGAGUGGAGAAUUAAUCAGAGAAGAAAUGGAGAGUUAGUGUUCAGUCAAAGUUAGUUAGUCCAUCUCUCUAAAAUGGCUACAAUUUAACAAACAAACAAAAACCCCAGAAAAUAACAUGUGAUGACAAUGAUACAGAGAAAUUGGAACCUUUGUACAUCGCUGAUUGAAAUGCAAAAUGGUAUAACCAACCCAUGUGGAAAAUAGAUAGGCAGUUCCUCAGUGACUUAAACAUAGAGUGACCAUUUAACCUGACAAUUCCACUCCUAGGUAUAUACCCCAGAGAACUGAAGACAGGGACUCAAACAAAACUUUGUAUAUGAAUGUUCAUAGCAGCAUAGAGCAAAAGGUGGAAGUAACCCAAAUGUACCUCAGCUGAUGAAUGGAUAGACAAAAUGUGGUACACCUGUAAGUGGAAUGGUGAAAGUAAAGUCGCUCAGUCGUCUCCGACUCUGCGACCCGGUGGACUGCAGCCCACCAGGCUCCUCCAUCUAUGGGAUUUUCCAGGCAAGAAUACUGGAGUGGGUUGCCAUUUCCUUCUCCAAGAGAUCUUCCCAACCCAGGUAUUGAACCCGGGUCUCCUGCAAUGUAGGCAGAUGCUUGACCGUCUGAGCCACCAGGGAAGUCCCUGGUGGAAUAUAAAUGGAAUAUUACUUAGCCAUAAAAAAUAAUGAAAAGUACUAAUACAUGCUACAACAUGAAUGAACCUUAAAAACAUCAUUCUAGGUGUAAGAAGCCAGAUACAAAAGGCCAGAUGUUGCAUGAUUCCAUUUAUAUAAAAUUGUAGUGUGCACAAAUCCAUAGGAACAGAGAUCACAUUAGUGGUUGCCAGGGCUAGGAGAGGGGGGAGUGAGGAAUGACCGAUAAUGGGUCCAGGGAGGCCUCUGGGGAUGAUGCAAGUGUUGUGGAACUAGAAAGCAGUGAUAGUUGCACAACACUGUGAAUACACUACAUGUCACUAACAGUGAAUUUCAUGUGUGUUUGACUACAAUAAAAAAUUCAGUUUGUCCUCAUCUCCCCUUAUUUAUGCAAGAAGGAAAUUGAUUUCAUUAUGACCUUCUGAUCCUUUUUUAAAAAUAUUUAUGGAGAAGGUAAAGGCAACCCACUCCGGUACUCUUGCCUGGAAAAUCCCAUGGACGGAGGAGCCUGGUGGGCUGCAGUCCAUGGGACCUCGAAGAGUCGGACACGACCGAGUGACUUCACUUUCACUUUUCACUUUCAUGCAUUGGAGAAGGAAAUGGCAACCCACUCCAGUGUUCUUGCCUGGAGAAUCCCAGGGACAGGAGAGCCUGGUGGGCUGCUGUCUCUGGGGUCGCACAGAGUUGGACACGACUGAAGCGACUUAGCAGCAGCAGCUGGGUCUUAGUUGUUGCACUCUGGAUCUUUGAUCUUUGUUGUGGCAUAUGGGGUCUUUAAUUGCAGCAUGUGGGAUCUAGUUCCCUGACCAGGGAUCAAACCUGGACCCUGCUUGCACCACCGGGGAAGUCCCUCAUCUUAACUUCUUAAGAUCCUGUAACUGCUCAGCUAGAGUACUUUGCACGCUGCCUACCUAUAGGAUGACCUAAGUAGAACACUGAAUAGGCAAUAAUAUUAGACCGUAAAAUGAGAAAGUACUCUCUCUUCAGUUUCCUUUAGUCCUUCCGAUUACAUCAUAUUGAAAGUCUGACUUUGGUGCUAGUAAAGCCCAAACACCCCUCUUUCACUUUCCCCUCUCUGUUUCUCUCUUCCUCCCUCCCUCUCUUGUUUAAGUAAAGAAGUCGCAUACCUUAGGCCCAGGGCUUUAGGCAGGCAGCCUCAGAGCUCAACUUUAAUCAUAUUGUUUCAUUUUCAUUGUAUUUACUUCUGCUGAAAGCUUCUCUUUAGAGCAAGUGGGACUAGUAUUUCAACUAUGCAGAUGACAUAAAAUUUUUCCUUUUAAAAUAUAUCUUUUAAGUGGUGAAGUUAUUUUUUGUUCAGUCAGAAAUUAUUUUUAAAUAUACAUAAUUUAUUAUUUUUAUUAUCUUAAAUAUACAGAAAUAAUAGAGGACCCCAGAAAUAGCAAAAAUUAUGCUGUGACUGUACUAAUGACUGAAGUUUGGGAAACAAUACACUGUUCAAAUACUGCUGUUACUUUUCAGGAACUGGAGCCCAUCAAACCUGUGGAAAUUAUAGGCUUGUGGACCAAGUUCUGGCGAAGGCUCAACUUGUAGCAGCCCCCACCCACCCCACCCUGUCACUGUGUCACUCUGAGGGAGUACGUGGAGUGAGCCAGGGAGGCCUGCGGCUUGGAAAUUAAAGCUGAGGAGGCAGAAUCUGGCUUUUCCCCGAAGGCCCUUGGAGCUGACCUCGAGGGUAACUGGGGACUCAGCCAUGAUUCUCUCACAGAAGUCCUCAACAGGGGAAGGGAUGGAUGAGUGGUGACAAGAAUCAAUCAACUUGAUGUGUUUCAAAACUAUUUUAAUUUUUUUUUUUUCUUUUUGCUGUGCUACAGCAUGUGAGAUCCUACUUCCCCAACUAGGAAUGGAACCAUGCCCCCUGCAGUGGAAGCUCAGAGUCCUAACCACUGCACAGGGAAGUCCCCAAGAAUCAGUCAAUCUUGUCAGUCUCACUACCUCCCAAACCCCAACUCAUCCUCCUCAAGUGAGAGGAUCUUCUAGAAACAGGUCUUCAUGAGUUAUGUUCACAGUGCUAGUCAUAGCUAUCCUCCCACGAGGAUGCUACCAGCAGAGUCCACUCCUCUCUAAGUAGCCUCGACGAUCACUCAGACUUCUUUUCAUCAUUCAUCCAUUCAAGGAGCCCCUCAGGCAAUGAUUACUAAGAAGCCCCCAAAUGAACACUAUUUCUAAAUCUAAGAUCUAAAAGGCUAUUCAUUUUAAGGUAUAAUAAAAGCAGCUCUCUGCAUUUUAGUCUUAGAAAAAUCUUCCUAGAUAAGAAAAAACAUUCUGAGGAGUUUCCAGUGUCCUUCAAAUUGAUGCCUUGAGAACCCCGUGACUUCAAUGUCGACGACUGGAUUAAAUAGCACGCCAGCUCUGUAGCUUCCAGGGGUGGACAGGGAGUGGGGCGGGACCUAUAAAAAAAUGCUAAAACAUCACUGGCGUAAAUAAGUGGAAACGUUAAUUGGUCUCAUUCCUGCUCUAAAAGACAGUUCUUGAUGUGGACUUUUUUUUAACCCCUCUUUUCUUAAAUAGGCCUAACUUUGUGCAGUACACGUGUUUGGUCAGAGUCAACAAAACAUUAGUAAUCACAGCAAAGAGAAUAUUUUUAAAGUUCUACUUCUGCCUGUGCCUGGGAACAUUCUCAUACAAAUGUUUCUUCUCCCUUUAAAAACAUAAUUUAAGAGAAAAAGAAAAGAUGUUCAAAUAGUGAUUAUAUUUUGGCACCAAGUGUGUCACAAAUCAACAUAUAACUUUGUAUAAUUCCCCAGCAGAACCUAGCCAAAAGAAAGCCCUCCCCAGCUGAACUCAGCUUCUAGGGAAGAAUAGUCCUGUUUACAAACAUGGAAGAGAUGGGCAGUAGGAACCUGGUUCUGGUUUAGGGGGCAAGAUUGGAAGGGCAGGCAUGGAAGGGGUCCUUGUUGGACCCCGGAACUUCUCAUAUGUAUCAUCAGCACAUGGCCUCAUGAGCAGCUCUGUCCUUGGGCUUUCCUAGACACAGGAAGGGGAGAGCCGAGUUCUACACUCUGAUCCAGAAGGAGCAGUGACUUUGGGUAAGAGAUUUCCACCUAGAAAAUAGGUCCCGAUCUCAGGGUGUCCCUUGUCCCGAAGUCAGGAGAAAGAGGAGUGGAAGGCAGACAGCCGAUGUUGCUUCUUGCUUUUCCUUUAUGCCUACAUGAGAGAAUAAGUAGUUUUCUUCCUAAGUGCCUGGUGGUAAAAAGUGAUAAAUUUCUUUGAACCAUGCAGAUGGGAUAGAACUAAAGCAUGCCAAAAAUAAUUGAAGUUAGCUUCACCAUAGCUGAAAUUUUGACACUAAAUAAUGCACAGUGUGAACCUGUUUAUGAGGACUGGGUAAUUUGUUAAAUAGUCUUCAUUUUGCACCCUUUAAUCUGCCUCCCCAAAAUUUGUCUGAUUCAGAAAAAUCACAAAAGAGAGUUAACAAGAAAAUGAGUACAUGGAACAAUAAGAGAUACUCCCCUGAAUUUUUUUCUUAGAACAUUAAUUUUGCUUUGCCAGCAGAAGUGGACCCCUCUGGAUGGUUAAUCCAUUUCUAUGCAUUUGUAUUUCUAGAAAAUUGGUUCCUUCUCAUCCUCACUCAAUCAAAUCUAAAGGGGAAAGUUUGACAGUAUACUUGAGAUAAUGUGGGCAAACUUUACCAUGUAGUGCUCCUAGGAAUGGAAGUGAAGAAAAUCUCUUAAGGGGGAGGGCACUUC
ensembl:lncRNA